GCUCUAUAUAAUGGGAUAUAUUGAACUAAAUUUGUAUAUACAGUAUGUCAGCAUUUCUUAGUAACUUCUCUUGAAUCCAUUUUUAAUAUCUAAUAUUAUACAGGUUGGGGAGUUAUAUACUCUUCAGGCCAAUACUAUCCAGACCAAGAGAAUCUAAUAAACAUAAUAAUCAUAGCCUGCUGACACUAAGGAAAAAGGACCUCAUUCACUCUUUCUUUUAUGCAGUGAUUUACUGGUCCCUACUGAUUUCCAAAUUGGAUCACUGUAGUGAAUUA
rnacentral:lncRNA from 1 species